UUUUUUUUGUUUUUUUUUUUGUAAAAUUCUCUAUUGCUUUAAUUUCAUCAUUCUCUGAUAUACAAAUCAUCGAUUCUUAGUGUUGUUUUUCCUCAAGAUUCACAGAUUCAAUUUCAAUGGCUGAAAUCGGCUCUCCGGGCAUGAGAACUCGAGGAGGGUCAUCUUAUGCUGAGACGCGUAGCAAAAAAAUCAAUGAUCCAAGAAGGACGAAACAACAUCAUGAUUCUCAUGAUGAUAAAGAAACAAAGAGGAAACAGUCAGCACUAGAUAAAAAAGUUUCUCAAGUGCCGCUACAGAAGAAGAGAAAGGUUACGAAGACUGUUCCUGGAGGCAAGGGCAAAAAAGUAGUUCGGAAAAAACCUUCAAUUGAUGUAGAAGACGAUGGAGAGGUAUUUUUCCCCUUUCAUGAAUGUAUUUCAAUUCACCAGGUCUAUAUUUCCCAUAUAUUUAUGUGUAUUUUUUUUUCGUAUUUCCUUUGGUUUUAAAUUAUAUAUGUGUUUUUCAAUUUGUUAUAUACAUUUUAUCAUCUGGUAGUUAUGUUUUUGUGUUUUGUUA